rnacentral:rRNA from 1 species
UACGUAGGGUGCGAGCGUUAAUCGGAAUUACUGGGCGUAAAGCGUGCGCAGGCGGUUUUGCAAGCCGGAUGUGAAAUCCCCGGGCUUAACCUGGGAAUGGCAUUUGGGACUGCAAGGCUGGAGUGCGGCAGAGGAGACUGGAAUUCCUGGUGUAGCAGUGAAAUGCGUUGAUAUCAUCAGGAACACCGGUGGCGAAAGCGGCUCACUGGGGCUUUUCUGACGCUGAGGGACGAAAGCUAGGGGAGCGAACGGG